AACGAACGCUGGCGGCAGGCCUAACACAUGCAAGUCGAGCGAGGGGUAACCCUAGCGGCGGACGGGUGAGUAACGCGUGGGAACGUACCCUUUGGUUCGGAAUAGCCCUGGGAAACUGGGAGUAAUACCGGAUACGGUCGAGAGACGAAAGAUUUAUCGCCGAAGGAUCGGCCCGCGUUGGAUUAGGUAGUUGGUGGGGUAAUGGCCUACCAAGCCGACGAUCCAUAGCUGGUUUGAGAGGAUGAUCAGCCACACUGGGACUGAGACACGGCCCAGACUCCUACGGGAGGCAGCAGUGGGGAAUCUUAGACAAUGGGCGCAAGCCUGAUCUAGCCAUGCCGCGUGAUCGAUGAAGGCCUUAGGGUUGUAAAGAUCUUUCAGUGGGGAAGAUAAUGACUGUACCCACAGAAGAAGCCCCGGCUAACUCCGUG
rnacentral:rRNA from 1 species